rnacentral:rRNA from 1 species
UACGGGAGGCAGCAGUGGGGAAUAUUGCACAAUGGGCGAAAGCCUGAUGCAGCUAUGCCGCGUGUAUGAAGAAGGCCUUAGGGUUGUAAAGUACUUUCAUCGGGGAGGAAAAAACAAAACUAAUAAUUUUAUUUCUUGACGUUACCCGAAAAAGAAGCACCGGCUAACUCCGUGCCAGCAGCCGCGGUAAUACGGAGGGUGCUAGCGUUAAUCAGAAUUACUGGGCGUAAAGAGCACGUAGGUGGUUUUUUUAAAGUCAGAUGUGAAAUCCCUGGGCUUAACCUAGGAACUGCAUUUUGAAACUGAAAUACUAGAGUAUCGUAGAGGGAGGUAGAAUUCUAGGUGUAGCGGUGAAAUGCGUAGAUAUCUGGAGGAAUACCUGUGGCGAAAGCGGCCUCCUAAACGAAUACUGACACUGAGGUGCGAAAGCGUGGGGAGCAAACAGGGAUUAGGAUACCCGU